CAGAACUCAAUCCAUUUCUCUUGCACAGCUACCAGAAGACUUACAACCUUCAGACACGUUGCUCAUGUGACAUCUACAUCCUC